rnacentral:rRNA from 1 species
CCUACGGGGGCUGCAGUGGGGAAUAUUGGACCAUGGGCGAAAGCCUGAUCCAGCCAUGCCGCGUGUGUGAAGAAGGCCUUCGGGUUGUAAAGCACUUUCAGUGGGGAAGAAAGCCUUGGGGCUAAUACCCUCGAGGAAGGACAUCACCCACAGAAGAAGCACCGGCUAACUCCGUGCCAGCAGCCGCGGUAAUACGGAGGGUGCGAGCGUUAAUCGGAAUUACUGGCGUAAAGCGCGCGUAGGCGGUCUGAUAAGCCGGUUGUGAAAGCCCCGGGCUCAACCUGGGAACGGCAUCCGGAACUGUCAGGCUAGAGUGCAGGAGAGGAAGGUAGAAUUCCCGGUGUAGCGGUGAAAUGCGUAGAGAUCGGGAGGAAUACCAGUGGCGAAGGCGGCCUUCUGGACUGACACUGACGCUGAGGUGCGAAAGCGUGGGUAGCAAACAGGAUUAGAUACCCCUGUAGUC